ACUCAGCUGAAGAGUCCCAAAUAGGACUUGACGUGCGUCCUGGAU
rfam:Schistosoma rodhaini strain Burundi genome assembly, scaffold: SROB_scaffold0002394